AGCUAUUCCAGCUCGCCUGUCAGAAGCAGCAUGUAGCAGGCUGCUGGGUAAAACUAACCUUUUCCAAAUUUGUCAGGGAAAUGAUUCAAGGCAAUCUAUCGGUCUUGCCACUUUGUGAAAGCCACUGGGGAACCAAAUGUGCUAAGAGUCCUCCCUGUUUCCCUGGAGGUGAGUGGGAGCAGUUCCCUCACAUAAGAGUCUCAAACACUCCGGCUUCACUGUGCCCAAGAACAGCACGGUCCGGGGUGGUCCAGUCUGAUCCCAACCGGCCCACCCGGGGCAUCCGGUGGAAGUCUUCGCCGGAGGAUCCGAAGGCAGCAUCAACGCGGUUGUCUCUUGACACUGCACACAGCAUAGCAUUUAAUCUUCGGAUGUUCUAGUCACCACACAAAUAAAGAGACUGAGCAUCGGAGAAACUAAACAGCUUGCCUGAGGUCUUGUAGAACUGCCUGGAAAAGGAAAAGCUGGAAAAAUUGUUUAUCCAUGGGGGGGAAAAAAAAAGAAAUUGGAUUCUUAGUCACACCAUGCCGAAAAAUUCACUCCAGAUGGAUGAAGAGCUGAAAUGUCAAAAGCAAACUCUGAGAAUUUGAAAAGGAAAUAUAAGUGAGUAUCUUUCUGAGCUUGAAGUAGGGAAGAAUUUACAAAGAUAGAAAAAAGGACAGGCAUAAAAGAAAAGAUCAAUAAGUUUGGCUACAUUAAUAUUAAAGCCUUUGUCCAUCAGAAGACACUUUAAAGAGAAGAAAGACAAUCUAUAAACUGGAAGAAGAUAUCUGUAAGACAUUCAACUGACAGGAUUAGCACUAGAAUAUAUAAAAAUAGCCACAAACUAGUGAGGAAACAACUGCAGAAAAGUGGGCACAAGGCAUGAGAAGCACGGUCACCGCACAGAAGGGAGGUGUGUGAGGCCAGUGGACAUAUGCAGAGAUGCUCGGCCACAGACAAAGGCAAAUCAUGACUAUGAUGAGACAUGAUUCUAUACCUACUGCGUUGGCAAAAAUUAUAAAAAACAUUGAUAAUACAACUAUUGGGAAGGUGUGGAGCAACAGGAUCCCCAGUGGUUGUACGACCAUUUUGGAAAACAAGUUAGUGUUCUCACUUAAAGAUGAUCAUUCUCACUUCCUAUGACCCUGCAAUUUCACUCACGAAUAAUAAGAGAUCAAUACAAUAGUUUCCAAAAAAAAAAAACUGUUCAUAAUAGCUAAAAAGAAAGAGAAAGAGGGCUCCAAAUCCUUAUCCUUGGGUAAAUGGACAAAUCUGCAGUAUAUUCACAAAAUGGAAUAUUGUCUAAGAGAAAAUAUGAGUGAACUACAGCUACGCAGAAUAAAAUGGAUGAAUCUCA
rnacentral:lncRNA from 1 species